rnacentral:rRNA from 1 species
GACGAACGCUGGCGGCGUGCUUAACACAUGCAAGUCGAACGGAAAGGUCCUGCUUUUGUGGGGUGCUCGAGUGGCGAACGGGUGAGUAACACGUGAGUAACCUGCCCUUGACUUUGGGAUAACUUCAGGAAACUGGGGCUAAUACCGGAUAGGAGCUCCUGCUGCAUGGUGGGGGUUGGAAAGUUUCGGCGGUUGGGGAUGGACUCGCGGCUUAUCAGCUUGUUGGUGGGGUAGUGGCUUACCAAGGCUUUGACGGGUAGCCGGCCUGAGAGGGUGACCGGCCACAUUGGGACUGAGAUACGGCCCAGACCCCUACGGGAGGCAGCAGUGGGGAAUAUUGCACAAUGGGCGGAAGCCUGAUGCAGCAACGCCGCGUGCGGGAUGACGGCCUUCGGGUUGUAAACCGCUUUCGCCUGUGACGAAGCGUGAGUGACGGUAAUGGGUAAAGAAGCACCGGCUAACUACGUG